rnacentral:lncRNA from 1 species
CUCUGCAGAGCAGCAUAAGGAACAGGGUAAGAGUUCUGAGAAUAAAAGAGUAUGUUUUUAUUGUUUAGAUCCUAGUCAUCUGAUUGUAGACUGCAAAGCUUGGAAGAAGAAAAACAUUGCAUCGAAACCUAAAAGUGUUGCCAAUGUUGUUUGUGAACCAAUGGUUAAUGUUCAGAAUGAAGACUCUUCGAAUGUAUCUGCUUUUACUCCUUUUGUAUUUAAGGGUAAUGUAGCAGUUUCUCCUGAUUCUACAGUGAGAUCCAUCUCUAUUUUGAGGGAUACAGGGUCAGCACAGUCGUUCAUCCUUGAAGGUGCGUUACCUUUUUCAAAUGAGACCUAUACAGGGACGGAUGUUUUGGUCCGUGGAAUAGAGUUGAACUGUUUAAAGGUCCCACUUCAUACUGUGUUCCUGACGUCUGAUCUAGUUUCAGGUCCUGUAAAAGUGGGAGUACGUUCAAGACUACCUGUAGAAGGUGUGAGUUUAAUUUUAGGAAACGACCUGGCUGGUGGCAAGGUGUUUCCUUGUCCGAUUGUGACAAGUACUCCUGUUUGUGAUAGGGAGCUUGUUAGUCAAUUCCCGGCAACAUUUCCAGUGUGCGUCGUUACUCGUGCACAAGCACGCAAAAAUGAGGAUGUAAUUGAUUUGUCUGACACUUUUCUUGCUUCUCCAGGUUCCCCUGUUGAAUUGACUCUAUCUGUACACCCCACUGUUGUUGAAGUCGAUAGUAAGAGUAAGUCUAUUGAUAAGGGAUCUUCCUUGGUGAUGGGAAGAAAUCAACUUGGUAUUGCCCAGAAAGCUGACGCUUCCCUGACACGUUGUCUUGAGGCUGCAAAGAAAGGGGAAGGAGAGAAUGCAGAUGAGGUGCAGUAUUUUUGGGAUAGAGGUGUACUGAUGCGUAAGUGGUUGUCUCAGGAUGCUAAGGAAUUUGGUUUAAGUGCGGACUACCAGAUUGUUUUGCCUACAGGUUAUCGAGCUACAGUUCUUAAACUUGCUCACGAUCAUUUAUUAUCUGGUCAUUUGGGCAGUAAUAAAACAUUCAAGCGUGUGGCUAAGUAUUUUUAUUGGCCUGGUUUAAGAUCAGCUGUGUCAAGAUACUGUCGUUCAUGUUAUAGUUGUCAACUCGCUGGUAAGCCCAAUCAAAUUAUUAAACCGGCUCCCUUGCAGCCUAUUCCGGUGAUGGGAGAGCCAUUUGAGCGUCUUAUUUUAGACUGUGUUGGCCCUUUGCCAAAGUCAAAAGCUGGUUACCAGUAUAUCCUAACGUUAAUAUGCGCAACAACACGUUUCCCUGAGGCAGUGCCAUUACGUAACCUUAAAGCAAAG